rnacentral:lncRNA from 1 species
UGAUUUAUAACUCCAAAUUAACCAACCCAAUUGAUUCAACAUGUUUAGUUCUUUAAUCUUUGUUCCCGGUACUACCUUCUUGAUCCCACACUCUUAACCAUAUGAGCUAAAAUGUUGCACAUCCGAUCUUUGGAAAAUGAUAGUCAUAUAAAGAAAAAAAAACAUUUACUUAGAUAGAUUAUCUUUCCAUAAGGUUGAGUGAUCUGAUCUGACAAAUGUUUUAAAUGCUACACUCAUGAUCUUAUCAUCCAUCAACUUUGUCUUGCUCACUAUGCUUAAGGUUAGAGAAGAACAAAUACACUUUUGGUUCUGUUGGUGUUUCCCACCAACAGGGCCCAUGCACUUGAUCUCUGCCUUGUCUCUAUGAGCAGGAUACACUUCGAGCAAAACAUGGAGGAGUUUUCCAACUCCCAGAUUCUACCAAGUGAAGGAUCUGGAUCUACGAGCACAAACACACUGAGAAGGAUGCUGCCAACGCCGCACUUCGAACUGCUGGGCAAACGAAAAACAUGGGUGACACCGUAUCAAGAGGUGCAGAUGUCAAGGUCCACACCUAACUCAAAUGACACACCUAAAGAAUAAACACGGUGAGAAGUCUUGUUCAGAAGACUUAAAACAUUGAACCCUCACCGAAAGGUAAAUCGGUAGUUAUCCAUAUUUAUCCUUUCUGCAUUCCUUUUUUCUUAAAUUAUUUACUUUCCUUAAAUAGCUUGUUAGUUAAUCAUACUAUCUUGAAAAGAAAAUAAAAAUGUUAAAAACAGUAAGCCCCAUGUGAGUAUGCUCGUGGCAUAAAACCCAUUCACUGUGGUGGCGUAAAAAUAAAAUAAAUAUAUUCUUGUCCUGUAAAAAUGAAAAUAUAAAAAUAAAUUUAUGAUCCUACUAAAGAGAGUAAUAUUUAUUAGAGGAAGCUCAACAUGCUAAAGGCUAAGAGAUUUUAUGCUAACACUUAACCAGUUCCACAAAGCUUUGUUGUCUAUUUGAGCUCCACAUAAUUCAAGGAUCAAGGAAGUCUAGCAGAUAGAGGAUAUCCUAAUCUCUAUCAGGGUGCUGCCAACAUUCAAAUACACCUACGCCACCUGCUAUCUACAUCAGAAGAAAUUACAUUAAAAUCCAGCUUGGAGGAGAGCACCCCCAUUUAUCCAGCUAAGUGUUUCUACUCACAUUUAUACUUUACUCAAAUAAUAAAAAAAUGCAUAAUCAUAAAAACCCAAUUAAACAUUUUGUGCUUAUAUAUAUCUUUGCUUAGUUUGCUAAAUAAAUAAAUAAAGUGUCUAUGCCAAACUGAACUUCAAUGAUAAACUCUUACAUGGAUAUGAUGAAUAGUUGCUCCGCCAAGUACCUAGUUUUCUAAAUUUGAGCUCUCUCUCAAGUUUAGGCAUAACUGUUAUAAUUUAAAGCUUGCUCUAAACCUAAAUUUGCAGGAAGAGUACCUGAUCAAAAGUCUAAGUCGUUAACAGAUAUGAUAUGGGAAGGUUGAGCUACUGUUUAUCUGUUCCUAGAGAUGCUAGAAUUCUGGAGAAUUUUAUCUUUGAAAAUCUUUAAAAUAUUGCAUGAUGAGUUCCUGUAUGAUGAGAGUUUAAAAUCCUACCACAGCCAUAUAUACAAGCUUAUUAGACUAUGAACCAUACAUUUACUUUUUACUGCUUAUGAGCAUUGAGUGUAGUCAAGCUGUGUAGACCCUUAGGAGCUUGUCAUGCGGUUAAAAUCAAGAUUCACUUGCACGUUCACUCAUACAUGCUGCUUCUACUCUAGAAGUACGCAUCCACAUACAUCAACUCAUUUUCAUAUCCAGAUUCACCCAAAGUUAUUCUACUCCUAUCUAGGAGAGAAUAGCUAAAAAAACAUUAUCCUAUCCUUGUUAUUCCCUGUGAAAUAAAUGCUCGAGAUAUUUUGGUUACCACCACUUGCUACAUUAUUCCAGGAGGGUGAGUGCUCUGAAAAAAAAGUGAAUACGUGGAAAUAAAAAGGGGCAAGUGCCCGAAACCUCGAAAAAAAGAAAAAAAAGAAAAAGUGAGACGAGAGGAAAAAAUGGACAAGUGUCCGACAGUAGAAUUAGGGGUACAAGAUACCCACCUGAGAGAAAAGAAAAAUAAAAUAUAGAGUGUCUCAUUCCCCUCAAAAGCCUCAAGUGCAAGAAAGGUAUGUACUCCCUCAAAAGAGCAAAAGUAGAAUUAGACUUUCAUCAUUAUUUUCACCAUUAUCACCAUCCAUUCGCCACACAUGCACAUCUUGAUUUGACUUAUUGACUUGUUCUUCUGGAUCCAUGGUUUGACUAUGCAAUAAAUGUCUUGUAAGUAUGUAUUAGCUAUCUCCCACUAUGAGCUCCAGAUAUCAAAACCUUAUUAGAGUAGGGUGAGAGAGAAGGCAAUGCCACUAUGCCUCAUACCAAAAAUACCACAUACUUAGAGAGAAGGCAUACACCAUUACUGCUUUGGAAAAGAUCCAGAAAUACCACAAAAGUGAGAAUAGAGAGAGUCAUACAAGGAAUCUCUGAGUUUUAUUUUAAAAUCUGCAAAAACUCCAAAGCUAUAGUUAAUCGAAGAACCAGAGACAUGGCGCUUGACUAGACCGUUCUAUUUUUUAACUGCUCAAGACAUAAGUGACGGUUGCAAGCCCCAUGGUGGAAGGUAAAAUGAGUAAGUUUAAAUCUUAACAGUUUACCCUAACCCAGAGAUGAGAUCUUGUUUGAACGCAUGUGUACCUUUAAGGCAUGAAACCACUUUAGAAACUCUUGAGUCCAUCUUUGCUCAGGGACGAGCAAAGGUUAAGCUUGGGGGAGCUUCUUUACGGUCCUUAAUGCGCACCAAUCAUAGAAUAGAGUACACCAUUACAAAGAUCUCGUCGAGCUGAUCGAAAUGCAUAUAUUAUUUGCUAUAUUUGGAGUUCGGAAUCAAGAGAUAUUAAUAAAAGAAGGACUCUACAUAAAAGAGCUGCGGGAUUAAUUGGGCCCAAAUUAGAUUUUGGUCCAUUAAGGCCUAUGUGAAUUUUAAUGAGAUAUGGUGGAAAGUUUAGUACCACAUCGCCUGCUGAACCAAAAACGCACAAAGGAGGAGGACUAUAUAAGCAAGGCCCCUGGCCCCAGGAGGAGAACAUAUCAUUAUAAAGUUGAGAGGUGCCCUCGAAGGUAACCUUUUCUCUAUAGAGAAUUAGGGCUAGACAUUCCAAUGUAGUAGAUUAGUUCUAUUCGGGAGUUAGGGAGAGCGGAGCUCCGGUUCUGGAGAAGUCUUCAGAGUUUUUGUAUGUCUUUAUUGUAAGACUUAUGCUUUAAUAUAUUUAUUUUCUCUAUUUACUUUUAUGCCUUUAUUAUUAUUGAGUAGUGUAGUUGUUAUAUUUUGGCAUAGGAUCUUCGUUCGCAUCGAGUGCUCUAGUUAUUCAUGGGAAUUAGAGUAGUAAUCGUUAGUGUAGACGUGGUGUCUAUACUAGAGGUUACCUGAGGUUGCACCCAGUCCUACGGAUUGUUGUGGUAGCCCUAGGGUAGUGACAGCCCUAACGGUCGACAUAUUCCACCUCGUUCGGAUCGGUGUUUGUAGGACCGUAGUCAGAGCUUCCCAGCCCCCUUCACAUAUCUUUCUGUGGUUGGUGUUCUGAUGUCCCAAAGUGCUAAUAUGUGAUUGCUAUAUCUAUUCAUUCUUUGUUAUCAUAGAACUGAAGUAAUAGAGAAGUAUACAGGAACCUAGGUCUCUCCCGUUGUCCUCCCGCUAUGGCUAUCUACGCAUUUAUCAUAGAAUUCUCACCUUUAUAUUAUUACCUAUCAUAUAUCAUUUACCCCUACUUUAGUCUAGUUGGUUUAUUAAAUUAGUAGAUGCAUGAUAGUAAGUUAUCAGAUUCUUUGACCUUAGCUUUCCAGUGGUAAAAUAUAAAUAACGAUACGUGGAAUACUCCUUGUAAAAUGCUACGAUGAUGUUCCGUGCGCUUGCGGAAUUUUUCUUUUUUAUUGCACUUAACGAAUGUCAACAAGCAUUUUUGGCGCCAUUGCCGGGGAAGCAAUUGGUGUGAAGAUUUUGAUAAUGAUCUUGAUGUCUGCUAAUUUAAUGUAUCACUAGCUUUAGUAGGUUUAUUGUAUUUAUCUUUUCUGCAUUUGUUUUUAGCAUAUUUAUUUUUAAUUAUCAUUUCUCCAUAACAUAUUUAUCUUUCUGUAUUAUUAUUGCAUUAGAAAAUAUAAUAAAAAUAUUUUAUAUAACUCAUUGCAUCUUAAAUACUAAAACCCCAUGUGAAUAAAUUGUGUGGUGUGUAAAAGCCCACACGGAUAUUCACCGUGGUGGAAUAAAAAAAUAAAUAAACAUGCAUUCAUCCUGUUCCAUUUCCUUUUUGCUUCAUAGAAAGAUUAAAACCCAAAAUAUAUAUAUAUAUAUUGAGAAAGAGAUCUUGUUGAAACUCUGCUUAGAAAAAGAAUUAAGAAAAAUCUAAAAAUCUUGGACAACUAAGGCUUAAGUGGCCAACUAUUAAUGUUUAAUCGGUGCCACAAGUUUUGUUGUCUAUUUGAGUUUAACAUGAUUUAAAGAGAGAAUCCCCAAUGAUCAAGAUAUCUUCAUCAACUUGGAAGCGCUGCAUUCAUCACUAACAUUUUGAAGCUCAAGAAUAUGGAAGAACAUCUGUGUUGUGCGGAUUCAAGAUUAAAGACUAUGUCAACAUUCAGCUUGGGGGAAAGCAAUCCUUUUAUCUUCGCGAUUCAGGCUUGAAGUAAAAGGGUGUAGAAUAACAACAAGAAUGGAGAUAAAGAGGGAGACACAUGAAGUUUAACAAUUUGCACAAGAAAGACAUAGCUCGUCCAUCAUAGAGAGAUAAUCCAUGGAACGAGACGAAGAGUGCCAUGAACAAGAUGCACAACCAUUGAGAAAGAAAAGCUUCCACAAGGUGAUAUUGUACCAUCACUCUUCAAUUAAGGUAACAUCUUAAGGUAUGUGACUGUCACUGUUAUAAGCUUCUCCUUGAUUCUGGCAUGCACAUGGAAAAAAGACAAACAUGUAUGAUUUAUAACUCCAAAUUAACCAACCCAAUUGAUUCAACAUGUUUAGUUCUUUAAUCUUUGUUCCCGGUACUACCUUCUUGAUCCCACACUCUUAACCAUAUGAGCUAAAAUGUUGCACAUCUGAUCUUUGGAAAAUGAUAGUCAUAUAAAAAAAAACAUUUACUUAGAUAGAUUAUCUUUCCAUAAGGUUGAGUGAUCUGAUCUGACAAAUGUUUUAAAUGCUACACUUAUGAUCUUAUCAUCCAUCAACUUUGUCUUGCUCACUAUGCUUAAGGUUAGAGAAGAACAAAUACACUUUUGGUUCUGUUGGUGUUUCCCACCAACAGGGCCCAUGCACUUGAUCUCUGCCUUGUCUCUAUGAGCAGGAUACACUUCGAGCAAAACAUGGAGGAGUUUUCCAACUCCCAGAUUCUACCAAGUGAAGGAUCUGGAUCUACGAGCACAAACACACUGAGAAGGAUGCUGCCAACGCCGCACUUCGAACUGCUGGGCAAACGAAAAACAUGGGUGACACCGUAUCAAGAGGUGCAGAUGUCAAGGUCCACACCUAACUCAAAUGACACACCUAAAGAAUAAACACGGUGAGAAGUCUUGUUCAGAAGACUUAAAACAUUGAACCCUCACCGAAAGGUAAAUCGGUAGUUAUCCAUAUUUAUCCUUUCUGCAUUCCUUUUUUCUUAAAUUAUUUAUUUUCCUUAAAUAGCUUGUUAGUUAAUCAUACUAUCUUGAAAAGAAAAUAAAAAUGUUAAAAACAGUAAGCCCCAUGUGAGUAUGCUCGUGGCAUAAAACCCAUUCACUGUGGUGGCGUAAAAAUAAAAUAAAUAUAUUCUUGUCCUGUAAAAAUGAAAAUAUAAAAAUAAAUUUAUGAUCCUACUAAAGAGAGUAAUAUUUAUUAGAGGAAGCUCAACAUGCUAAAGGCUAAGAGAUUUUAUGCUAACACUUAACCAGUUCCACAAAGCUUUGUUGUCUAUUUGAGCUCCACAUAAUUCAAGGAUCAAGGAAGUCUAGCAGAUAGAGGAUAUCCUAAUCGCUAUAAGGGUGCUGCCAACAUUCAAAUACACCUACGCCACCUGCUAGCUACAUCAGAAGAAAUUACAUUAAAAUCCAGCUUGGAGGAGAGCACCCCCAUUUAUCCAGCUAAGUGUUUCUACUCACAUUUAUACUUUACUCAAAUAAUAAAAAAUGCAUAAUCAUAAAAACCCAAUUAAACAUUUUGUGCUUAUAUAUAUCUUUGCUUAGUUUGCUAAAUAAAUAAAUAAAGUGUCUAUGCCAAACUGAACUUCAAUGAUAAACUCUUACAUGGAUAUGAUGAAUAGUUGCUCCGCCAAGUACCUAGUUUUCUAAAUUUGCGCUCUCUCUCAAGUUUAGGCAUAACUGUUAUAAUUUAAAGCUUGCUCUAAACCUAAAUUUGCAGGAAGAGUACCUGAUCAAAAGUCUAAGUCGUUAACAGAUAUGAUAUGGGAAGGUUGAGCUACUGUUUAUCUGUUCCUAGAGAUGCUAGAAUUCUGGAGAAUUUUAUCUUUGAAAAUCUUUAAAAUAUUGCAUGAUGAGUUCCUGUAUGAUGAGAGUUUAAAAUCCUACCACAGCCAUAUAUACAAGCUUAUUAGACUAUGAACCAUACAUUUACUUUUUACUGCUUAUGAGCAUUGAGUGUAGUCAAGCUGUGUAGACCCUUAGGAGCUUGUCAUGCGGUUAAAAUCAAGAUUCACUUGCACGUUCACUCAUACAUGCUGCUUCUACUCUAGAAGUACGCAUCCACAUACAUCAACUCAUUUUCAUAUCCAGAUUCACCCAAAGUUAUUCUACUCCUAUCUAGGAGAGAAUAGCUAAAAAAACAUUAUCCUAUCCUUGUUAUUCCCUGUGAAAUAAAUGCUCGAGAUAUUUUGGUUACUACCACUUGCUACAUUAUUCCAGGAGGGUGAGUGCUCUGAAAAAAAAGUGAAUACGUGGAAAUAAAAAGGGGCAAGUGCCCGAAACCUCGAAAAAAAGAAAAAAAAAGAAAAAGUGAGACGAGAGGAAAAAAUGGACAAGUGUCCGACAGUAGAAUUAGGGGUACAAGAUACCCACCUGAGAGAAAAGAAAAAUAAAAUAUAGAGUGUCUCAUUCCCCUCAAAAGCCUCAAGUGCAAGAAAGGUAUGUACUCCCUCAAAAGAGCAAAAGUAGAAUUAGACUUUCAUCAUUAUUUUCACCAUUAUCACCAUCCAUUCGCCACACAUGCACAUCUUGAUUUGACUUAUUGACUUGUUCUUCUGGAUCCAUGGUUUGACUAUGCAAUAAAUGUCUUGUAAGUAUGUAUUAGCUAUCUCCCACCUAUGAGCUCCAGAUAUCAAAACCUUAUUAGAGUAGGGUGAGAGAGAAGGCAAUGCCACUAUGCCUCAUACCAAAAAUACCACAUACUUAGAGAGAAGGCAUACACCAUUACUGCUUUGGUAAAGAUCCAGAAAUACCACAAAAGUGAGAAUAGAGAGAGUCAUACAAGGAAUCUCUGAGUUUUAUUUUAAAAUCUGCAAAAACUCCAAAGCUAUAGUUAAUCGAAGAACCAGAGACAUGGCGCUUGACUAGACCGUUCUAUUUUUUAACUGCUCAAGACAUAAGUGACGGUUGCAAGCCCAUGGUGGAAGGUAAAAUGAGUAAGUUUAAAUCUUAACAGUUUACCCUAACCCAGAGAUGAGAUCUUGUUUGAACGCAUGUGUACCUUUAAGGCAUGAAACCACUUUAGAAACUCUUGAGUCCAUCUUUGCUCAGGGAUGAGCAAAGGUUAAGCUUGGGGGAGCUUCUUUACGGUCCUUAAUGCUCACAUUUAACCGUCAAUUAAUCAUAAAAAA